rnacentral:rRNA from 1 species
UACGUAGGGUGCAAGCGUUAAUCGGCAUUACUGGGCGUAAAGCGUGCGCAGGCGGCUUUGCAAGACAGAUGUGAAAUCCCCGGGCUUAACCUGGGAACUGCAUUUGUGACUGCAUGGCUGGAGUGCGGCAGAGGGGGAUGGAAUUCCGCGUGUAGCAGUGAAAUGCGUAGAUAUCUGGAGGAAUACCGGUGGCGAAGGCGGCAUCCUGGACCGACAUUGACGCUGAGGAGCGAAAGCUAGGGGAGCAAACGGG